GCUUGGGUCAAUGGGGAGCUGGGUUGAGGACCCGGUGGCGUAGGCCUGCGUGGGUUCGAAUCCCACCCCCCGCA
rnacentral:tRNA from 1 species